rnacentral:rRNA from 1 species
UACAGAGGGGGCAAGCGUUGUUCGGAAUUACUGGGCGUAAAGGGCGCGUAGGCGGCCUGCUAAGUCGAACGUGAAAUCCCUGGGCUCAACCCAGGAACUGCGUCCGAUACUGGUUGGCUUGAAUCCGGGAGAGGGAUGUGGAAUUCCAGGUGUAGCGGUGAAAUGCGUAGAUAUCUGGAGGAACACCGGUGGCGAAGGCGGCAUCCUGGACCGGUAUUGACGCCUGAGGCGCGAAAGCCAGGGGAGCAAACGGG